GAGCAAUCUGCGUUCAUCCUGGAAGUGGAACUCUUGAGCAGUGGAACAACAGGCUUUUAACCUAAUAAUCUAUCAAGUUACCUGGAUGAUUCGGUGGAAAGAAUAAGAGAGGUUGCCAUCCGGUGCUUGGUGGUGUGUCUUCGUGAAAAGGAGGAUCUCUUCAAGGACAACUUAAGAUGGUGAAGUGGAAGUUAGCAAUGAGGUGCUGAAGACUGUCUUGACCAGGGCUGCGGAUGCAAGAAUAGGGAUUGAAGGAACAGAAGUCCUUCAGAUCUCAGAUGCGACCAGAGCCUGUGCCAUGCUCAUGGGGCUAAUACACACUCAACCUGAACUACCUAAAGCAGAUGUUAA